rnacentral:rRNA from 1 species
AGUGAACGCUGGCGGUAGGCCUAACACAUGCAAGUCGAACGGCAGCACAGUAAGAGCUUGCUCUUACGGGUGGCGAGUGGCGGACGGGUGAGGAAUACAUCGGAAUCUACUUUUUCGUGGGGGAUAACGUAGGGAAACUUACGCUAAUACCGCAUACGACCUACGGGUGAAAGCAGGGGAUCUUCGGACCUUGCGCGAUUAAAUGAGCCGGUGUCGGAUUAGCUAGUUGGCGGGGUAAAGGCCCACCAAGGCGACGAUCCGUAGCUGGUCUGAGAGGAUGAUCAGCCACACUGGAACUGAGACACGGUCCAGACUCCUACGGGAGGCAGCAGUGGGGAAUAUUGGACAAUGGGCGCAAGCCUGAUCCAGCCAUACCGCGUGGGUGAAGAAGGCCUUCGGGUUGUAAAGCCCUUUUGUUGGGAAAGAAAAGCAGCAGGUUAAUACCCCGCUGUUCUGACGGUACCCAAAGAAUAAGCACCGGCUAACUUCGUG